UACGUAGGGUGCGAGCGUUGUCCGGAAUUAUUGGGCGUAAAGAGCUCGUAGGCGGUGUGUCACGUCGUUCGUGAAAACCUAAGGCUCAACCUUGGGCUUGCAGUGGGUACGGGCAGACUAGAGUGCGGUAGGGGUGACUGGAAUUCCUGGUGUAGCGGUGAAAUGCGCAGAUAUCAGGAGGAACACCGAUGGCGAAGGCAGGUCUCUGGGCCGAUACUGACGCUGAGGAGCGAAAGCGUGGGGAGCGAACAGG
rnacentral:rRNA from 1 species